UAACACGUAAACAACCUGCCUUAAGGAUGGGGAUAACAGACGGAAACGACUGCUAAUACCGAAUACGUUCUAAGCAUCGCAUGGUGCAUAGAAGAAAGGGUGGCCUCUACAAGAAAGCUAUCGCCUUAAGAGGGGUUUGCGACUGAUUAGGUAGUUGGUGAGGUAACGGCUCACCAAGCCGACGAUCAGUAGCCGGUCUGAGAGGAUGAACGGCCACACUGGAACCGAGACACGGUCCAA
rnacentral:rRNA from 1 species